rnacentral:sRNA from 1 species
GCCCAGCCCCUGGCAGCACCCACGAUGCGGGACCUGCCUCUCACCGGCCUGGCCCUAGUGCUGUCCGCCCUGGGGGCUCUGCUAGGGACUGAGGCCCUCAGAGCAGAGGAGCCAGCUGUGGGCACCGGUGGCCUCAUCUUCCCAGAAGACUUGGACUGGCCGCCAGGCAGCCCACAAGAGCCUCUGUGCCUGGUGGCGCUGGGCGGGGACGGCAAUGGCAGCGGCUCCCCCUUGCGGGUGGUGGGGGCUCUGAGCGCCUAUGAGCAGGCCUUCCUGGGGGCUGUGCAGCGGGCCCGCUGGGGCCCCCGAGACCUGGCCACCUUCGGGGUCUGCAGCACCGGCGACAGGCAGGCUGCCUUGCCUUCUCUACGGCGGCUGGGGGCCUGGCUGCGGGACCCUGGGGGGCAGCGCCUGGUGGUCCUGCACCUGGAGGAAGAGCCUCUGCCCGUCCCGGGACACCCGCUACCUGGCGUUGGCGGUGGACCGCCCUGCGGGGGCCUGGCGCGGCUCCGGGCUGGCUUUGACCCUGCAACC